GAUGAGCAUGCGUCCCAUUAGCUAGUUGGUAAGGUAGCGGCUUACCAAGGCUACGAUGGGUAGGGGUCCUGAGAGGGAGAUCCCCCACACUGGUACUGAGACACGGACCAGACUCCUACGGGAGGCAGCAGUGAGGAAUAUUGGUCAAUGGGCGCAAGCCUGAACCAGCCAUGCCGCGUGCAGGAUGAAGCAUCUAUGGUGUGUAAACUGCUUUUGUACGAGAAGAAACACUCCUACGUGUAGGAGCUUGACGGUAUCGUAAGAAUAAGGACCGGCCAACUCCGUGCCAGCAGCCGCGGUAAUACGGAGGGUCCAAGCGUUAUCCGGAAUCAUUGGGUUUAAAGGGUCCGUAGGCGGUUUUGUAAGUCAGUGGUGAAAGCCCAUCGCUCAACGGUGGAACGGCCAUUGAUACUGCAAGACUUGAAUUAUUAGGAAGUAACUAGAAUAUGUAGUGUAGCGGUGAAAUGCUUAGAUAUUACAUGGAAUACCAAUUGCGAAGGCAGGUUACUACUAAUUGAUUGACGCUGAUG
rnacentral:rRNA from 1 species